ensembl:lncRNA
GGGUCAUAAACUGGAGAGAAAAAUGGGAUUUGCUGGGAUUUGGGUGGUGGAAUUGGGGAGAAAAAUGGGAUUUGUUGGCAUUUGGGUUGUGGAAUUGGGAAGAAAACAGGAUUUGGGUCAUAAACUGGGGAGAAAAAUGGGUUUUGGUGGGAUUUGGGUCAUAAACUGGGGAGACAAAUGGGAUUUGGGUGGUGGAAUUGGAGAGAAAAAUGGGAUUUGUUGGGAUUUGGGUGGUGGAAUUGGGGAGAAAAAUGGGAUUUGGUGGGAUUUGGGUGGUGGAAUUGGAGAGAAAAAUGGGAUUUAAUAGGAAUUCGGUCGUGAAAUUGGGGAGAAAAAAGGGAUUUGGUGGGAUUUGUGUCAUUGAAUUUGGGAGAAAAAUUGGAUUUGUUGGGAUUUAGGUCGUAUAAUUGGGGAGAAGAAUAGGAUUUGGUGGGAUUUGGGUGGUGGAAUUGGGGAGAAAAAUGGGAUUUGGCAGGAUUUGGAUCAUAAACUGGGGAUAAAAAUGGGAUUUGUUGGCAUUUGGGUCAUAGAAUUGGGGAGAAAAAUGGGAUUUAAUAG